rnacentral:RNase_P_RNA from 1 species
GCUACAAGCCAGACUGCCGCGCGGUAAACCCGAAAGGGUGACCGGGAGGAAAGUCCGGACAGCACAGAGCAAUGCACCGGUGAAGAGCCGGCCUGCUGUCUCCCCAAGGAACGGCAGAGAGAAAGUGCCACAGAAAAUAACCGCCUGAUGUAGCUUCAGGGAAAUGGGGGCAACCCUGCUUCGCUGAGGUAAAAAGUAUCUUUAGCGUGGAGAAGAGCGGCCCUCCUUCGCUGAAGCUACGGAGGGCAAGGUUGAAAACGCGGGGUAAGAGCCCACGGCUUAUACUGGUAACAGUAUUCGCGGGUAAACCUUGCAUGCUGAAAUGCCACAUAUAGUACCGCCUGAGGGUGACUCGUCCGAGACGGCCGCAAGGCAGGAGCGGUACAGGGUAGGCAGAUGGAUCCCGGUGCGUAAGUGCCGGGACAGAUAAAUGGCAGUCCCUUCCGUCAGGAAGUGUACAGAAUCCGGCUUAUGGCUUGUAGCUUUU